ACUGUUCUUAAAGUCUUAUCAAUCUGACUGAAGCUUCACCAGCUCUGUUCACCAAUAUCAACUCGAACCAAGCUCAACAACAAGUGUCACAUUAUAUUCACUCGUCACGUCGAGGCCCCGCCUUCGUCUUGAUGCUUAUAAAGGCUGCAUGAUGGGAAAGUCGUGCAGGAAGACCCAAUCUGUCCAGCUCCUGCCCUGAUGUGUUCUGAUCUGACGGACAAGUGACAGCUUCUCAUCGCAGACCUCAGUGUGACAGAACGACUCCGAGCUCCACAGACACACAACAGUCCAAUGCUAAGUAGUCAAGAUGUCGACGCCGGUCACCAAACAGCUGCAGCCCCUGACGGAUUCCCCGAAGUCGGACGAGCGUGGAUCGGGAUGUGACUGCUGCAGUGGCUGCCUAAACUGCCUGAAGGGUUUCUGCGGUGGACUGUGCAAUAUAAUUGGAGGUGCAUGUUGUGAUGCGUGUGCUGGUGCAAUAACUAAUGUGAUAUAGGAUUUGGGGUUAGGGUAAGAGUGUGGACGAUUCCAUCGACCAGUAAAUACCAAUUAACAUAUUAAUGAUCAAUUAACAUAAUGAUUAAAGCCCUUUGCUUCUUCUUGUUCUUAUAAUCAAACCUGUUGCUUAUGUUCAUCAUCAGUCAAACCGGAAGAAGCUGUUGUUGUGGCUUUAAUUAUUGAUUUAUUGACAAUAAAAUGACGUAAAAAUGUCUAAAGUUGGCUGUGUGUUCUUGAUGUAUUCAAUGGUGUUAAGAGGACAUAUAUCUACAA